rnacentral:rRNA from 1 species
AUGCGCCGUCCUCUCGCCGCCGCCGCCGCCCUCCGCCUCCGCCUCCUCUCAUCAUCGUCCCGCCCCCUCGUCCCCUCGCCCUUUCCACUCCACCACCUCCUCCGCCGCGACGACGACCGCGAGGAUCGACAUCCAACGCCCCCGCCUCCGCCAUUCUCGCCCCGCCCGAUCUUCGGCUCCGCCUCCGGUGCCCCCGGCCUCCUCGGCCUCCGCGGGUGGCGGACGUUACCCCCGGCAGCGUCACCGCCCCGAGGCACCGUCGCGGACGCGCCCCCUGUCCUGCUCACCAUCUCCCGCAGUUAUUCUUUGCGUGUCGCCAAGACCAAGAAGCAGACACACUUCGACGAUGAGCACAGCCAUCGAGCGGUUAACACGGCACUUUGGUGUAAUUUCCUUGUCUUCACGCUGAAGUUUGGUGUGUGGUUUUCAACAUCUAGUCAUGUUAUGCUAGCUGAGCUAGUACAUUCGGUGGCAGACUUUGCUAACCAGGCUCUUCUUGCAUAUGGUCUGAGAAGUUCAAGACGUGCUCCAGAUGCUCUACACCCCUAUGGUUAUUCAAAAGAAAGAUUUGUAUGGUCUUUGAUAUCCGCGGUUGGAAUAUUUUGCUUGGGUUCAGGUGCUACUAUUGUGAAUGGAGUUCAGAACUUGUGGAGUUCUCAACCUCCCGAGAACAUUCACUAUGCUGCAUUAGUGAUCGGUGGGUCGAUCCUAAUUGAAGGUGCUUCACUUCUUGUUGCUAUAAAGGCUGUUAAGAAAGGUGCAGCAGCAGAAGGAAUGAGUAUCAGAGACUACAUCUGGCGUGGUCAUGAUCCAACUUCAGUUGCUGUUAUGACUGAAGAUGGUGCUGCUGUUACAGGUCUUGCUAUCGCAGCAGCAUCUUUGGUGGCUGUUCAAAUGACAGGAAACCCCAUCUAUGAUCCAAUUGGUUCUAUCAUUGUUGGUAACUUACUUGGAAUGGUUGCGAUUUUUCUCAUCCAGAGGAACAGGCAUGCUUUAAUUGGUAGGGCCAUUGAUGAUCAUGAUAUGCAGCGAGUUCUUGAAUUUCUGAAAUCUGAUCCGGUUGUAGAUUCUCUUUAUGAUUGCAAAAGUGAGGUGAUUGGGCCAGGGUUCUUUAGAUUCAAAGCAGAAAUUGAUUUCAAUGGAGUAGUCUUGGUGCAAAAUUAUCUUGAAAGGACUGGACGUGGAGUAUGGGCUAAACAGUUCCGGGAGGCCUCGUUGAGUAAGGAUGAUGCGGAGCUACGAAGGGUUAUGGCUGAGUAUGGUGAGGGUGUGGUGGAUGCUCUGGGAUAUGAAGUGGAUCGGCUGGAGUCAGAGAUACAGAAGAUUGUGCCUGGAAUCAGACAUGUCGACAUCGAGGCGCACAACCCAGACGGGCUUUCAGUUUAG